AGAUUUGUUUUCUGAGGUUUUCCUCAAUUCUCCUGUAAUUCCUGUGUUGUGCUUACCUUGAUUCCAAGCAGAGGAAGGUUUCAGGAUCAUGGAUAUCCAAAGAAGAAGAAAAGAAGGAAAAUAUUCCCUUUGAGGCAACUCCCAGCACGUGCACAGAGCUGGGCUCUCCAGCAAUCAGUAGCUGAGGAAAAUCUGGAUUUCAUUUCUAAUUCCACCACGAAUUUCCCUCUUUUCCAGGGUCUGCCAGUGCUGCUGAAAACCCUUUUGAGAACCACACCAAAAAGUGACCACCCCAAAUCCAGCUGCUCCUUCCCACUGCCCAGAGCCCGAGGAGGAGCUGAGCAGAGGGGCUCCAUCCCAGCUCUGACUUCUGUUGGGUAUUUCCACAUUCCUGAUCUGCUUUUGGCAGCGGGGUGAGGAGGGAACGCCAUGGCCAAGGAGGGAUUACCAAGGUCCAAGGGAACACAAGUUCUGAGUGUCACCUCCACCCCAGAACCGCUUUGGGGCAAACCAAGAACCGAGCAGAUUUUUUUUUUUCCCCACUCAUUUUCACGGUGGCUCCUCCCAAGCAAAAGCAAGCAGUCAGGUGAGUCAAAUGUUCCCCUUCCCAGUUGAUCCAUGGAAGAAAAAUGAGAAAUAUUGAGUGGAGACAAUUCUAAACUUCUUUGGAUUCAGGGACUGAGGGUUGGGAGGGCUGUGUACCCACAUGAGCACUGAGGGGGAUUUUAAAAACACACAUUUCAUUCCCUGCAGUGCCAAAGAUUCCUUCACUUUGGACCUUAAAUUUAACAAUUAGACCUUUCUGGGUUUCUCCCAUGUCAGUAAUGCCCUCACAGUGUCCUUUGGGGCUGAAAGGAAGGGACACAGCCCGAAGUGGCCCCAGCAGGUGACAAUAAUCUCAGCAGUGACGCUGUCCCCAGGUUUAGUGGAGGAUCCCAGUGGCCACUCUCUCCUUUCCUGGGAUGCUCUCAGCCCAGCUCUCCUUUUCCUUUCACAUUUCCCCAUUUUCCCUGUUCCCUGCCUUUCCAGGAGCGUUGUCACAGAUGGAAAAAGCCCAGGGAAUGUGGGUGCUGAGCCCUCCCCGAUCCCCCCACGAGGGUUUGGGGCACAGGGUGAGGGUUUGGUCUUGGAUUUCCAACCCAUGGGAUGCUCCUCCUGCUCGGGGUGACAUCAACAGGGAACCCUCGAGGCUGAACUCAAGGAAUUCCCUCUCUGUGGCUUUUGUAAAAGCAAAGAUAGGAGAUCUGGGUUCCCCUUCUGGAAUGUUCUGCCUUCAGUAAAAUCCCUCACCCUGUGUUUGAAGGGAUUGUAGAUCCCACUUCAUUCCAACCCCUGCCAUGGCAGGGACACCUUUCCCAGCCCAGGUGGCUCAGGGUGACAGUGGGAUCAGGCACCGAGCCCAUGGAAUUGGCUUUGCCUGCGCCUCUGAUGGGUUUGUGGAUCCCUGAUUCCUCCUGUGAGGUUGGAAACCCUCGUUUCACACAGCACAGGACACAAAAGGAGCCCUGUGGAAAAAAGGAAAAGCAGGUGUUGGGUGAUCCCACAGAAUGUCCUCAGAGGGGCAGGAUUUGAGAUGGGGAGAGAUGGAAAGAGGGCUGGAAGAACGAGAUGGAUUUCCUGCACCCAAAUCAAGGAACAGAAAG